rnacentral:lncRNA from 1 species
UCUGUAUCUUACUUCUGAACCCACAAACCAGACGGCAUUUCCUCAUACUCUGGUGUACAGUUUGUGAUACAAAGGUAUGUAUUUUUGUAUUUUGGAUGCAUAGAUUCAAGAUCUGGCGAGAGUACUUUCAUUUAUUAUCAUAUCCAUUUGAGUUGUGGUGCCGACUGCUGUGGGUGUGGUUAGUCGCUGGCGAGAAAGUAUGGUGUUGCCGGCUGUUGUGGGCUAGGAAGAAGCCGGAGAGCAAGGGUGGUAGUGCCGGCAAUUGGCUGGGAAGAAGCCCUUUUUUUAAAUUUUUUUCGAAUUUUUGGUUUAAUUUUUUAAUUUGGUAAUUUUAAAAUUACUAUUUUACCCCUUUUGAUUUUGUCAAAAUUAGUCAAAGUCCAUUUUCUGGGUCAACUAACGGUCAAAUGGACGGUUUCCAUCUAUAUGGACCUUCAGUGCAUAUUUUUGAAAGGUUUGGAACUGUGGCUAACACAAAAUGAAGGCUUAGUAAAGUUUGUAAAAAUGUUAAAGGUUUGGGAUCGUUGCUCAAUUUUCCCAAAUAAUAAUUAAAUGGGGUAAUGAAAUAUGAAAUAAUAUUUAAAGGAGAAAUCAAGUCCAUGUUUGAGCCACAUUCUAGGGAAAAAAAUACAUUAUUCAUAUCCAAUCAAUGGGAAAUGUGUG